AAGAGGGACUCAGAUCACCUGGAAUUAUGGCAAUGUAUUGCAAGGAUACCUAUGAAAAUGGGGGAUCAUGAGAAGUUGAACUUUGCAUCCCAGUUCUGAAACAUGCAGCGACCUCAUGGAGACAGAUUCAUCACUCGGCAUUUCGGGGCGGUAGCAAGUUCAAGUGACCUGCCAGAUUUCUUAGCAUUAACUUGAAAGAUAACAUACUUGUUUGAUUUCAUUUGAUUUGAUUUGAUUUCUACUAGUCAAAUGGGCACCUUGAUUAGGCUGACUCUCCCCCAGGAACCCUGGGAGCCUCUGACAUCCCGUAUGUCCAAACAAGACACAGCCCCUCUGUGGCCUCAGCAUAUUUGCCCAGUCCAAUCAGCUAUAGCCAGAACAGAAAGGAAGGAAGACCCAAGAGAGGGAAGUAAAUUUGCCGAGGCAGCAGCAGCCUGCUACUUCCCUGCUAACCAGGGCAGAGGCUGGCCUGCCCCCCUACCUGGAUGGCCCCUGCUGUCAUGGCUUUUCUGCUUCUAGAAGCCAUCCCUGAGAACAUCAUUGCAGAACUCAAAACACAUUGCAUCAUACAAAAUGAAGUGGAGAAUUAAGGCAAUUAUCCAAUUAUUAAAAACCAUUUCUCAUUGGAAUCGCUAAAAAACUCUUCAAGUCUCCAUUUUACACGUGUUGCUCUGAUGUGAAUUUGACCCUGGCGUACCUGCUUUCCAGUAAAGUCCAAAAUCCAAAAUAGCCCAAUGGAGAGAGCCCCUCCCAGUAUCCACAGCCUCCGUAAAAAAGCUGCUUAUCAGAUCUCAC